GACGAACGCUGGCGGCGUGCUUAACACAUGCAAGUCGAACGGAAAGGCCCUGCUUUUGUGGGGUGCUCGAGUGGCGAACGGGUGAGUAACACGUGAGUAACCUGCCCUUGACUUUGGGAUAACUUCAGGAAACUGGGGCUAAUACCGGAUAGGAGCUCCUGCUGCAUGGUGGGGGUUGGAAAGUUUCGGCGGUUGGGGAUGGACUCGCGGUUUAUCAGCUUGUUGGUGGGGUAGUGGCUUACCAAGGCUUUGACGGGUAGCCGGCCUGGGAUGGUGACCGGCCACAUUGGGACUGAGAUACUGCCCAGACUCCUACGGGAGGCAGCAGUGGGGAAUAUUGCACAAUGGGCGGAAGCCUGAUGCAGCAACGCCGCGUGCGGGAUGACGGCCUUCGGGUUGUAAACCGCUUUCGCCUGUGACGAAGCGUGAGUGACGGUAAUGGGUAAAGAAGCACCGGCUAACUACGUG
rnacentral:rRNA from 1 species